UUCCUCCAUGACAUGAAUACAUUCCUGGGUAUGGCCAUGCUGCUGGCUUAGUUACUGAUUCUCCCUAUCUCUUCUCCUAGAAGUCUUGUCUCCAUUUCUCAACUAACACACUCAUUUUCAUUAUGGAUGUUUUCUUUAUCAUAAUUUAUAUUAAAGCUACUAAAAUAUGGUGAUAGUGUGUAGAAUUGACUAAUGCAUAAAAAUUAACCAUCUGUGCAUCACAGACCCUCUGGCACUGAUCAGAGCCUCUUAGAUAGCCUCUUCGUGGCUAGAUGUACCAAGAUAAGUUCAUACAAUGGCGUGUUUUAAUAUUUGCUAUUAAAAGAGUUGGAAAAUAUCAAGAAUCAUCUAAAAAACAACAUGAAAAUAAAGAUGUGCACAAAACAAACCCACACAUUAUAAAGAUUAAAUACAAAGAAAAUAAAAAAAAAUUAACAAAAGAUACAAAUAAUCCAGAUUCAAAUAGUACAGUAUUUCCAACUACUAGCCUGUAACUUUUUGCACGGAAUUCUUAAACCUUUUUUUGUCCUUUGGAAAGGCAUGUUUGAGUCACUUAUAUUAAAAUCAGAAGCCUGAAGAGGUUUCAUGAAUACACACUAUGACACAUACAUCCACACUCUGAAGACAUCACUGCUCAACUGUGGAUCAUGCAAGAAAGAAAACCAAUUAUGACUUCCCCACUCUCUAUGGUCCUUUCUUUCUUAGGCUGCUGCAGGACCUGGCAGUAUAUGUAUAACAGCUUAAGAAAUCAAGAAAUGCCACCACAUUUGGUAUGGGAGUAAAACUGCAUUCUUUUUUGACAUCUGGAAUCCAAUUUUCUUGUAGGAACUUGCAAUAAGAAUUGAACUUUGAGAACCACCCACUUCCACCUUUCCUUUCCUGUCUCAAGGGGUUACUGCCUGGAUUUGGACAUUUGUGGGGUUUACUGUAAGAGCAAAUUACUUUGGCUUAAUCACAGCCAUCAGGUUCCAGAUGCUAACAUGAUGCCAACUUCCCUGGGCAGAUGACCCCACCAAUAUGUCCUGGAGCUCCACUUCCUCAGAGCCCUGCCCCACUAGGGAAAGACAGAGACAGGCUGGGAGUAUGGAUUAACCUGCCAACACCUAUGUUCAGCAGGGAAGCAAUUACAGAAGCCAGACCUUCCACCUUCUGUACCCCAUAAUGACCCUGGGUCCAUACUCCCAGAGGGAUAAAGAAUAGGAAAGCUAUCAGGGGAGGAGAUGGGAUACAGAGUUCUGGUGGUGGGAAUUGUGUGAAGCUGUACCCCUCUUAUCCUAUGGUUUUUGUCAGUGUUUCCUUUUUAUAAAUAAAAAAUAAAAUAAUAAUAAAUACAA